UGCAGUCGAGCGAACAGACGAGGAGCUUGCUCCUUUGACGUUAGCGGCGGACGGGUGAGUAACACGUGGGUAACCUACCUAUAAGACUGGGAUAACUUCGGGAAACCGGAGCUAAUACCGGAUAAUAUUUCGAACCGCAUGGUUCGAUAGUGAAAGAUGGCUUUGCUAUCACUUAUAGAUGGAC
rnacentral:rRNA from 1 species